UGAGGAAUAUUGGUCAAUGGGCGACAGCCUGAACCAGCCAUCCCGCGUGAGGGAAGAAAGCGCUAUGCGUUGUAAACUUCUUUUCCAGGGGGAUAAAAUGAUGUACGCGUACAUUACUGAAGGUACUCUGGGAAUAAGCAUCGGCUAACUCCGUGCCAGCAGCCGCGGUAAUACGGAGGAUGCGAGCGUUAUCCGGAUUUAUUGGGUUUAAAGGGUGCGUAGGCGGGACAAUAAGUCAGUGGUGAAAACCUGCAGCUUAACUGUAGACUUGCCGUUGAUACUGUUGUUCUUGAGUAUGGUCAAGGCAGGCGGAAUGUGUAAUGUAGCGGCGAAAUGCUUAGAUAUUACACAGAACACCGAUAGCGAAGGCAGCUUGCUGGGCCGUUACUGACGCUGAUGCACGAAAGCGUGGGGAUCGAACAG
rnacentral:rRNA from 1 species